AGCCGGGGCAGCAGCGGCGCCCUGUACCAUCAAUCCGCUAUAGUUGGGGUGAUAUCCUGCCGCGGGUCUUUGAUUGUGGAGCUGCCUUUUAUAAGCGGCGUGGAUUCUUGGGUCUCACGCAACAGGAACUUGUGAACCGGGUCAGGUCAGGAAUGGAGCAGCCCUAAGCAGGAUCUCCUGUGUGCCGUGAGGGUGCCUGGGAUGAGUUGGCUGUAGAAGUAACGUCCAUGGUCGGGAUUCAACGCAGGA
rnacentral:SRP_RNA from 1 species